UGACGAAGGGGGCUAGCGUUGCUCGGGAAUCACUGGGCGUAAGGGCGCGUUAGGCGGCGUUUUAAGUCGGGGUGAAAGCCUGUGGCUCAACCACAGAAUGGCCUUCGAUACUGGGACGCUUGAGUAUGGUAGAGGUUGGUGGAACUGCGAGUGUAGAGGUGAAAUUCGUAGAUAUUCGCAAGAACACCGGUGGCGAAGGCGGCCAACUGGACCAUUACUGACGCUGAGGCGCGAAAGCGUGGGGAGCAAACAGG
rnacentral:rRNA from 1 species